UCUCAUCUUUUUCCACAAAAUCAACUCAACAUUAACCGCCCUGCUGCUGUGUGAAAGAAACAAACGGAUGCAGGUUUGCUGAGAGUGAAUCUGGGACGAAUCCCUCGAGGCCUUUUUUGCAAACCUGUAGAGAUUCCUCAGAGCGGCCGUUCGACUCUGUUAAGAGAAACAACAAUGACGUCUAUCAAAAAUUUGAAGGUCAGUUGGAUAUUUGAGUUUCUUCAAAUAGUGAUUGGCUCUCAGGAGAACCGAUCCAGGAGCCGAGAGUUCCCUCUGCUGCAGGCCAGAAGUUCAUUAGAGACUCAGAAACUGUCAGCGAAUGUCACUCAGAGUUCAAGAAGCAGACGCAUCUCAGCAUCAGCAGCUGGAGGAAUCAGACACUUAUGGCUGAACUGCUGCAAAGAAACAACUAGUGAGGGAAUAAGAGGAAGAAGAACUCAAACACAAGGGACCAGUGAAGACCUGGACUUUGCUCUGAUCACAUAAAUGUGAAGUAAAAUGUAGAAUAUCUGCCACUCAAAUGGAGCAGAGAAGAAGUAUAAAGGAAGGAUAAGCAGUUUUGCCACUAAAUUCUUUUAAAUAUUCACAUUUGCAGUUGUCAGCUGAUGGAAACAUGCUUUGAUUCAUGUUGUCUUCAAUUGGAAUUUCACAAACUUCUGAAAAUGCAAUGAAACAUUUGAACAGACAUUGACCAUAUGUUUGUAAUGGUGUCCACACAAUUCAUCAUUUCCACUUUUUCCAUUCAUUUUCUAUGCGACAAAGCAUUACAGUAGCAUUGUGUUGUGUUUUGA